rnacentral:rRNA from 1 species
GACGAACCGUGCGAACGUUGUUCGGAAUCACUGGGCUUAAAGGGCGCGUAGGCGGGUUUGCAAGUCUGCGGUGAAAGCCCCCAGCUUAACUGGGGAAGUGCCGUGGAUACUGCGGACCUUGAGGAGGGUAGGGGCAUCUGGAACAUUGGGUGGAGCGGUGAAAUGCGUUGAUAUCCAAUGGAACUCCGGUGGCGAAGGCGAGGUGCUGGACCCUUUCUGACGCUGAGGCGCGAAAAGCCAGGGGAGCAAACGGG